rnacentral:rRNA from 1 species
GGGUUGUGAGGUUAAGCGACUAAGCGUACACGGUGGAUGCCCUGGCAGUCAGAGGCGAUGAAGGGCGUGCUAAUCUGCGAUAAGCGCCGGUAAGGUGAUAUGAACCGUUAUAACCGGCGAUACCCGAAUGGGGAAACCCAGUGUGAUUCGUCACACUAUCAUUAACUGAAUCCAUAGGUUAAUGAGGCGAACCGGGGGAACUGAAACAUCUAAGUACCCCGAGGAAAAGAAAUCAACCGAGAUUCCCCCAGUAGCGGCGAGCGAACGGGGAGGAGCCCAGAGCCUGAAUCAGCAUGUGUGUUAGUGGAAGCGUCUGGAAAGGCGCGCGAUACAGGGUGACAGCCCCGUACACAAAAGCGCAUGUGCUGUGAGCUCGAUGAGUAGGGCGGGACACGUGGUAUCCUGUCUGAAUAUGGGGGGACCAUCCUCCAAGGCUAAAUACUCCUGACUGACCGAUAGUGAACCAGUACCGUGAGGGAAAGGCGAAAAGAACCCCGGCGAGGGGAGUGAAAAAGAACCUGAAACCGUGUACGUACAAGCAGUGGGAGCACCCUUUGGGUGUGACUGCGUACCUUUUGUAUAAUGGGUCAGCGACUUAUAUUCUGUAGCAAGGUUAACCGAAUAGGGGAGCCGGAGGGAAACCGAGUCUUAACCGGGCGUUAAGUUGCAGGGUAUAGA